UACAGGGGGUGCAAACGUUGCUCGGAAUCAUUGGGCGUAAAGCGCACGUAGGCGGUCUGUUAUGUCGGAUGUGAAAGCCCUUGGCUUAACUGAGGAAGUGCAUCCGAAACUGGCAGGCUAGAGUACUAAAGAGGGUCGCGGAAUUCCCGGUGUAGAGGUGAAAUUCGUAGAUAUCGGGAGGAACACCAGUGGCGAAGGCGGCGACCUGGGCCAAUACUGACGCUGA
rnacentral:rRNA from 1 species